UACGUAGGGGGGCGAGCGUUUGUCCGGAUUUAUUGGGCGUAAAGAGCGUGUAGGCGGCCAGGUAGGUCUGCUGUGAAAACUCGAGGCUCAACCUCGAGACGUCGGCGGAAACCAUCUGGCUAGAGUCCGGAAGAGGAGAGUGGAAUUCCCGGUGUAGCGGUGAAAUGCGCAGAUAUCGGGAAGAACACCCGUGGCGAAGGCGGCUCUCUGGGACGGUACUGACGCUGAGAGCGAAAAGCGUGGGGGAGCGAACAGG
rnacentral:rRNA from 1 species